rnacentral:lncRNA from 1 species
GGCCAGCAGCGCUCCGUCGCGCGGCACGAACACCUUCUGGUUGUUGGAGCGCAUUCGGCUCUGAAUGGUGAACAGCAGCACCUCCAGGUGACCCUUCUCGGUGAACCUGGGGGAGAGAAAGCACCGUAUGGCACCGUGUGGCACCACUACGGCACUGUGUGCCACUGCUAUGGCACCGCAGGGCACCAACAUGGCACCGUAUGGCACUGAGUAUGGCCACGGUGUUGAAGGCCUGCAGUUGGCUCUGCACCCCGC